AAUUUAAAAGUUAUAUGUAAAACUUUGCAAGGCCCAUGGUGGGUGUUGAUGCCAUGUGAUUUCUGCCCAGCAUUCUGAAUGUCAAAAUGAAGAAAUUCAAUGAGCAUGGGUAAAAGGUGGGAGUAACCAUCUAAUUAAUGAUGUGCGUGAAUGGAUGAAUGAAAUU
rnacentral:ncRNA from 1 species